rnacentral:rRNA from 1 species
AUGUCCUCCAGCAGCAUCAUCGCCCUUGACGUCAGCUUCAACCGGCUAAAUGGAACGCUGCACGAGCUGCCGUCUUCGAUCACCACAGACCGGCCUCUGCAGGUACUCAACGUCUCAAGCAACCAGUUCAGCUUAGAACUUCCAUCAGCCACAUGGAAGAUGAUGAAGAAUCUAAACGCGUUCAACGCCAGCAAUAACAGCUUCACUGGGCACAUACCGUCUUCUCUUUGCCUUGGCUCGCCAUCUUUGGCUUUGCUUGACCUCUGUCACAACCAAUUGAGUGGCGACAUUCCGAACACAUUAGGUAAUUGCUCCAAGCUCAAAAUGCUCAAGGCCGGUAACAACCACCUAAGUGGGAUUCUCCCUGUUGAAAUCUUCCACACUACCUCGCUGGAGUACCUGUCCUUCCCCAACAAUGGUUUGCAAGGAGAACUUGAUGGAGAACAAAUGGUCAAACUCACUAAUCUAGCUACUCUUGACCUUGGAGGGAACCACAUCAGUGGCAACAUCCCAGAAUCGAUAGGUCAGCUCAGGAGGUUGGAGAAGCUUCAUUUGGGUAACAAUAACAUGUCUGGCGAGCUGCCAUCAACUCUUGGCAACUGCACAAAUCUCAAAACCAUCGAUCUGAAGAUCAACAACUUCAGUGGAGAUCUAAGCAAGGUAAACUUCUCAACCCUGCAGAAUCUAAGAAGUUUAGAUCUCAUGAGGAAUCGUCUCGGUGGCAUAGUGCCAGAAAGCAUUUACUCAUGCAGCAUGUUGACUGCACUGCGGCUGUCGGGCAACCAUUUCCAUGGUGAGAUAUCACCAAGAAUAGGCAAUCUGAAGCAUCUGUCCUUCCUAUCACUUGGUAGUAACUCCUUUACAAAUAUCAUGAAAGCUUUGCAUGCCCUUAAGAGCUGCAGGAACAUCAGCAAAAAUAAGUAA